AAGAUUCAGAUUCAGCAUUCUCCGUUGGUAUUCGAGGUGCACUUCAAAGAUUCUUAACUACUUUGAUCAUUUUUGCGCAAUUGAUGACAGAGGGUGUAAAGAUUCUAAAAUACUAUAAUUUUUACAAAAUUGACAUCUAAGGGUGUGUCUGAUAUGGAAUGCAAAGAGCGUUGUUUUGCUGAUAUUUUUAAUUAAUUGUAACAAAGUUGGACAUAAGUUGAUCAAAGUAUAGUGAUAUGGAGUUUAGACUAUAUAAAAUUUUCUCUGUAGUGUAAUGUUAGAUAUUGGUAUUGGUCUAUUGGAUAGUACUUCAACUUCCUCUUACUUUUUAGUUUCAUUAUGAAGUACAAGAAUGUUAUUUUACUGAUAUUUAAAAUGGUAACAAUGUUUGACGACUCUAUCUAUAAAAGUUGAUUAUAGUGUAGGGAUAUGGAGCUUAGACUUGAUUAAAAGAACAUUCCUUAAUGAGAAAUUGAUAAACAAAAAUAAAUAUUAAGUUUCAUAGCAGUUAUAGUUUACUAACUCGGGAAUGAGUGAGUUCAAUAAAAACUUAUCUUUAAAUAUUUUUUUGUCGUUUUUCUUUGUAGACAUUGAUUCUCCUAUUGUUUACAUACAAACCCGAUUCUCUUCUUUUCGCCAAUUACCACCUCUGCAUCUAUUUUAGUAACCCUAUUCAGAGAACGAAGCGAAAUAUUAAAUUUCAAGUCACUUUUUUUGUUUUAUAUCUUCGGUCAACGGAGGUUUGUAAAUCAGUGUUGCGUUGCGGUAAAGAGAUGUAAACAAUCGGAUCUAUGUUGUUGCUCCAACUUCACAGUUUAUUUGAGUUUGUUUUUAUUGCUAUGGCUAAUAGCUAUUCAAUUUGGAAUUGUUCUCAUACUAUUACGCUCAACUUGACAAAUAGAAGCUUUCACCACUUUCAUUAAUCACUGUUUAAUAUGAAUACAAACUAAAUUGGCAGCAACCGUCUGGAAGCCCUUUGCUUAGUCUAAUAGUGUUUUUAAAGUGUGCAGCUUAGUUCAAGAAUAUUACAGAUCAACAUUUGCUAAGUGAGGAUCCCCUUUAGUUACAUUCACUAUUUUCUUAAUGAUUGAGAUUAUAUUUUUUGCGUGUUUCAUUUAUACAUUGAAAUUUAUCAUAGUGUAGCUUGUGUUUUUUUUAUCUACCAAAAUCUUUGAGACAUCUUUGACAAAAUUCUAUUUGCUACUUAAUGAAAGAAAUGAUAGCAUUUUGUCUAUACCUCUGGAAAGAUAAAAACUAACAAUUUAUAAAAUGACAAUGUUGUUUAUGUUGCGUUGUUUGGUAAUAUAGUAUUCUUUCUGUUUCCUCAAGUGUAGGAAAAUAUUUGGCAGCAACAGGCUUCAGCACAUCUCAUCAAGAAAUACAAAGAGUGGUAGAUAUAUGCUUACGGGCGCAUUGUGUUACCCCUGAAAUGGGAACAAAGGUGGAGCUUCACAGAAUUUGGGGCUAGCAAGAUCCACAAAUGUCAACCGCAUAUAGUUGCAAAAUCAUAUAAUUACAGUUUUGGUUGCUUCUUUUCUUCAAAGUUUAUUUUAUUAAUUGUGUGAUGACCCGAUAGGUCAUCUUACGUUUUAGAAUCAAACUCUGUAUUUCGAAACCUUUAGAACCUUAUUCUAGCCUUCUUCGAUUUGCG
rnacentral:lncRNA from 1 species